rnacentral:tRNA from 1 species
GGAAAUGUAGCUCUAUGGUAGAACAUGUGGCUAGCAUACACAAAGCCCUGGGUUUAAUUCCCAGCACUACCA